rnacentral:tRNA from 1 species
GCGGCGGUGUAUUGUUUUUCCUGACUCUUAAUCAGGGUGUCCAGGGUUCGAGUCCCUGAAGGCGCA